rnacentral:rRNA from 1 species
UACGGAGGGUGCAAGCGGUGUGCGGAGUUACUGGGCGUAAAGGGCGCGUAGGCGGCUUGGUAAGUCGGGUGUGAAAGCCUUCCGCUUAACGGAAGAAGUGCACCCGAAACUGCCUUGCUCGAGUUUAGGAGAGGAGAGCGGAAUUCCCGGUGUAGAGGUGAAAUUCGUAGAUAUCGGGAGGAACACCCGUGGCGAAAGCGGUUCUCUGGCCUAAUACUGACGCUGAGGCGCGAAAGCGUGGGGAGCAAACAGG